rnacentral:rRNA from 1 species
GUGGGGAAUUUUGGACAAUGGGGGCAACCCUGAUCCAGCAAUGCCGCGUGCAGGAAGAAGGCCUUAGGGUUGUAAAGCUCUUUCAGCUGGGAAGAUAAUGACGGUACCAGCAGAAGAAGCCCCGGCUAACUCCGUGCCAGCAGCCGCGGUAAUACGGAGGGGGCUAGCGUUGUUCGGAAUUACUGGGCGUAAAGCGCACGUAGGCGGAUUAAUAAGUCAGAGGUGAAAUCCCAGUGCUCAACCAUGGAACUGCCUUUGGUACUGUUAGUCUUGAGGUCGAGAGAGGUGAGUGGAAUUCCGAGUGUAGGGGUGAAAUUCGUAGAUAUUCGGAGGAACACCAGUGGCGAAGGCGGCUCACUGGCUCGAUACUGACGCUGAGGUGCGAAAGCGUGGGGAGCAAACAGGAUUAGAAACCCCGGUAGUCC